CCUACGGGUGGCAGCAGUGAGGAAUAUUGGUCAAUGGGCGCGAGCCUGAACCAGCCAAGUCGCGUGCAGGAUGACUGCCCUACGGGUUGUAAACUUCUUUUAUACAGGAAUAAAGUGAGGCACGUGUGCCUUUUUGUCUGUACUUUAUGAAUAAGGAUCGGCUAACUCCGUGCCAGCAGCCGCGGUAAUACGGAGGAUCCGAGCGUUAUCCGGAUUUAUUGGGUUUAAAGGGAGCGUAGAUGGGUUGUUAAGUCAGUUGUGAAAGGUUGCGGCUCAACCGUAAAAUUGCAAUUGAUACUGGCAGUCUUGAGUACAGUUGAGGUAGGCGGAAUUCGUGGUGUAGCGGUGAAAUGCUUAGAGAUCACGAAGAACUCCGAUUGCGAAGGCAGCUUACUAAGCUGCCACUGACAUUGAUGCUCGAAAGUGUGGGUAUCAAACAGGAUUAGAUACCCGGGUAGUC
rnacentral:rRNA from 1 species